CCUACGGGGGGCUGCAGUGAGGAAUAUUGGUCAAUGGGCGAGAGCCUGAACCAGCCAAGUCGCGUGAAGGAAGAAGGUUCUAUGGAUUGUAAACUUCUUUUGCACGGGAAUAAAGUGCGGUACGUGUACCGUAUUGUAUGUACUGUGCGAAUAAGGAUCGGCUAACUCCGUGCCAGCAGCCGCGGUAAUACGGAGGAUCCGAGCGUUAUCCGGAUUUAUUGGGUUUAAAGGGUGCGUAGGCGGGAGAUUAAGUCAGUGGUGAAAGUUUGCAGCUU
rnacentral:rRNA from 1 species